rnacentral:ribozyme from 1 species
UGUGUUGGGGAGGGGGAGAUAUGGUUUGGAUGGGAUUU